GACGGAGGGCGCGAGCGUUGUUCGGAAUCACUGGGCGUAAAGCGCGCGCAGGCGGAAGUGGCAAGUUCGAAGUGAAAUUCCGGGGCUCAACUCCGGAACGGCUCCGAAGACUGCCCUUCUGGGGACCGGUAGAGGCCGGUGGAAUUGCUGGUGUAGCGGUGGAAUGCGUAGAGAUCAGCAAGAACACCCGUGGCGAAGGCGGCCGGCUGGGCCGGAUCCGACGCUGAGGCGCGAAAGCGUGGGGAGCAAACAGG
rnacentral:rRNA from 1 species